rnacentral:rRNA from 1 species
AACGGCUUCAACAAGCAAUAGUAAUUUGAAUUGGUGUAAAGGGUACGUAGCCGGUAGACCAAAUGGUCAACUAGAGUUAUAUAGAGGUAGAUACAAUACUUAGAGUAGGGGCUGAUAUCUUAUGAUCCUAAGGGGAGUGCUAAUGGCGAAGGCAAUCUACCAAGUAAUAACUGACGGUGAGGUACGAAGGUUAGGGGAUAAAUAGGG